rnacentral:lncRNA from 1 species
GCACUGCAGCCACUGGGAAUGGACCUGGAGGGCUGUGGCUUUAGUGGGGGCCCCUGGACUGCACGCUGCGUGCAGUUGGCAUUCUUCACCUGUGCUUCUGAGUUACCUCUUCCAGUUCUGUUUUGUACAAAAGGAAUCCAGUUCGCACACCUGGGGCCUGCUCUGUGAUACAAAGUGCAGCAUGAGCCUGUCAUACAGAAGUACCAUUUUACAGAGCACAGACACAGAGAGAAUUAAUGAUGUGCAUAAGUCUGCGUAAGGAAAUAUGUUACAGAACUGAUCUUGGGUUUUCUCAGCUUACGAUGUUUAGUCACUGGACUGGCUCUCCUCGUGCUCUGCAGCACAGUUACAUUCCUUUCUUGCUGUGGCUCUUGGUCAUCCCAUCCAGCACAUCCAAGGAGGCUGCCACAGAUACAGUGAUCAGACAGGCUAGCAUGACAGUUUUCAUCCUGGAAGAUUUUAGUAAGAUCCCGCUCCACUUGGUAUAUACGUCACAUAAAAGUUCCAGCAAGAAGACCCUUAUUGACCACGUUUUCUCCUUGCAUCCUGAGUUACAGAAUGGUUGGUUGUACACCUGCCUUUGUGAAGUCAGCUGGAGCUCAAAAGUUGGUUGUACUGAGCUUGGACACCACAUUCAGACCAAAGCUAAUCUGCACGUUUUUGUUGAAUGA